GAUGAACGCUGGCGGCGUGCCUAAUACAUGCAAGUCGAGCGAACGGACGAGAAGCUUGCUUCUCUGAUGUUAGCGGCGGACGGGUGAGUAACACGUGGAUAACCUACCUAUAAGACUGGGAUAACUUCGGGAAACCGGAGCUAAUACCGGAUAAUAUUUUGAACCGCAUGGUUCAAAAGUGAAAGACGGUCUUGCUGUCACUUAUAGAUGGAUCCGCGCUGCAUUAGCUAGUUGGUAAGGUAACGGCUUACCAAGGCAACGAUGCAUAGCCGACCUGAGAGGGUGAUCGGCCACACUGGAACUGAGACACGGUCCAGACUCCUACGGGAGGCAGCAGUAGGGAAUCUUCCGCAAUGGGCGAAAGCCUGACGGAGCAACGCCGCGUGAGUGAUGAAGGUCUUCGGAUCGUAAAACUCUGUUAUUAGGGAAGAACAUAUGUGUAAGUAACUGCGCACAUCUUGACGGUACCUAAUCAGAAAGCCACGGCUAACUACUUGCCAGCAGCCGCGGUAAUACGUAGGUGGCAAGCGUUAUCCGGAAUUAUUGGGCGUAAAGCGCGCGUAGGCGGUUUUUUAAGUCUGAUGUGAAAGCCCACGGCUCAACCGUGGAGGGUCAUUGGAAACUGGAAAACUUGAGUGCAGAAGAGGAAAGUGGAAUUCCAUGUGUAGCGGUGAAAUGCGCAGAGAUAUGGAGGAACACCAGUGGCGAAGGCGACUUUCUGGUCUGUAACUGACGCUGAUGUGCGAAAGCGUGGGGAUCAAACAGGAUUAGAUACCCUGGUAGUCCACGCCGUAAACGAUGAGUGCUAAGUGUUAGGGGGUUUCCGCCCCUUAGUGCUGCAGCUAACGCAUUAAGCACUCCGCCUGGGGAGUACGACCGCAAGGUUGAAACUCAAAGGAAUUGACGGGGACCCGCACAAGCGGUGGAGCAUGUGGUUUAAUUCGAAGCAACGCGAAGAACCUUACCAAAUCUUGACAUCCUUUGACAACUCUAGAGAUAGAGCCUUCCCCUUCGGGGGACAAAGUGACAGGUGGUGCAUGGUUGUCGUCAGCUCGUGUCGUGAGAUGUUGGGUUAAGUCCCGCAACGAGCGCAACCCUUAAGCUUAGUUGCCAUCAUUAAGUUGGGCACUCUAAGUUGACUGCCGGUGACAAACCGGAGGAAGGUGGGGAUGACGUCAAAUCAUCAUGCCCCUUAUGAUUUGGGCUACACACGUGCUACAAUGGACAAUACAAAGGGCAGCGAAACCGCGAGGUCAAGCAAAUCCCAUAAAGUUGUUCUCAGUUCGGAUUGUAGUCUGCAACUCGACUACAUGAAGCUGGAAUCGCUAGUAAUCGUAGAUCAGCAUGCUACGGUGAAUACGUUCCCGGGUCU
rnacentral:rRNA from 1 species